GUUAAAUGCCUUUCUCAAGGUCACGACGGUGCAAAAACCACCGGGGAAAGAGGAUCUCAGGUCUCCGACCUUUCUGCACUGGAAAGGCAGCACGGCGCAACGUGCUCCGCUCUGCUCGAAAUCCCAACGCCACAAGGUUUUCGGGUUAAGGAUGGACACCCCGAAUGCUCUCCACCGAGCUCCACCGGACUUGGGUACCCCGUGGCGUUCCCGUCCGCACUCCCGCCGUCCCAGUCCGAGCGCCACUGCUCUGAGAGGGGCCAGUGAGGGUCACUUACCGUCGCUCUCCGCCCUGACGAGCAGGGACAUGCCCUUCAGCCUCUCCACGUAGCCGGAGGACACAUGGCCAGUACCCCGGUCGUCCCACUGCCGGUCCUCGUUGAGCGUGUAGACCUUCACCCGCCGUCGGGUGUCGGUCAUCGUGCCGGCCGGGGGCCCCGCCCGAGUGGCCCAGGGACAGUGUCCAGAAAAGGCGGGCGGCCGCAAACGGGGAACUCCGGGACCUCAGUGCCACCGCUGGCCGCCGCGGAGCUGCGCCGCCGCUCGCAUGGCCCGCUCCCGGGUCCGAGCCCCGGGCCGCCGCCUUCUCUCGUCUCCUUCUCCCCGGCGCUAUUGUCCAGGCCGAGCGAGCGCGGCCGCCCAGCAGCCCCGACAGGGAACGCGCAGCACUACGCAGCCUACCGGCCCGCCGUUCCAACGAGGUGCGGCUCGGUUCACAGACCCGCUCCGGCCUCCACCAUGACCUCCGCAGAGCCGCUUUCCCGCGCCGCCGCCUCCUCAGGCCGCCGCCGCCAUGUUUUCCUCCCUUGUACCUGGCCCAGCCGCUGCAGCAGGAAGCCCCGCUCCGCUCCUCCCGCUUAAAGCAUCCGAAGCCGGUGAGGUAGCACUUCCCGGGAGACUCCGAACGCCUCUGGCCACCCGAGAACCCCUGGCUCUUCUUAGAAGCCGCCUUCCCUACUCCGCCGCCUCUUCCGUCUUCCUCACAGAGCCAAAGCCGCCGCCAUCUUGGCUCGCCCCUCAAAAGCGGCGCGCGGGGCCACCUAGGCAGUAGCGGCAGGGGCGGCCCGCAAGCCCCACCACUUAAAGCGACAAGACGGGAGCCGGCAGCUUCGCUCCGGCCGAGGCCUUGCACCGAGGCGGGCGCGGAGCUGCGGGGGUGGCGGGAGCGGAGGAGGCGGGACGCGAGUCGCGCCGGUGACGGACCGGGACUCCCUCGCGCUGCCCUGCGCGUACUGUCGUGCAAGCGCGGGCUGCGUGUGCGUCCGUCGCACUUUGAAUUCGUCAUCACCUCGGCUCCGGGCGGGGAAGGGGUGUGGAGUCUGUUGGCGGCUUCUGGAGCCAGACUGGACUCUGAUCCCGGAGCUCGUCCUUUCCCGUGCGAGCCUUCUCCGGACGCUUUAGGGAGGACCUUUGCAGUCGGCCCUGGGGGCGCGGGCUGCUGGCGUCCUCCUCGUCCUCCCCCCGCCCUCCUCCUCCUCCUCCUCUUCUUCCCUUGGCCUGAAAUAGAGAAGUUUCUGAGAGAGGACCGUUUGGACCGCGAGGUUGGCGGGAUGCAGUGAGGCACGCAAUGGCCGGUAAAUGACACAACCUCGGGGUUCGACGUGUGAUAAGGUAUCCUGUAACUACUCUUUGUACCGCUGGGAUCUACCCUGCUUCACUGGAUGACAUGCAGCCUUUUCUCUUAGCAACUGCAUGAAUAAACAUCCAAGAGAACUUGUUUGUUUGGUUUAGUUUUUUGAGACAAGGUUUCUCUGUAUAGCCCUGGCUGCCCGGGAACUCACUCUGUAGACCAGGCUGGCCUCAAACUCAGAAAUCUGCCUGCCUCUGCCUCCUGAGGGCUGGGAUUAAAGGCGUGCGCCACCACACCCGGCGAUAACUUUUUUUUUUUAAAGAUUUAUUUUUAUGUGUAUCAGUUUGUCUGCGUGUAUGUAUGUGCACUAUGUGUAAGCCUGAUGCUCUUGGAGGCCAGAAGAGGAUGUUGGAUCACCUGUUAACUGUGAUUACAGGCAAUUGGGAACUGCAUGCGGAUGAUGAGAAGCAAGGCCUUGUCCUUUACAAGAGAAGCCUGUGGUUUAAACUGCUGAGCUGUCUUUCUAGUUCCAAAUACCUAAGAGGAGUCUAAAGUCCUUCUCAAAGGACCUUGAGAUAUCUUUUUUUGCUUGUUUUUUCAAGACAGGGUUUCUCUGUGUAGCCCUGGCUAUCCUGGAACUCACUCUGUAGACCAGGCUGGCCUCGAACUCAGAAAUCCGCCUGCCUCUGCCUCCUGAGGGCUGGGAUUAAAGGCGUGCGCCACCACUGCCUGGCCCUUGAGAUAUCUUAGUGAAUGAGGAAAGGCACUUAAACUGCUAAACCCAACCAAGUGAAUUUGAUCCUUGAAACUCACAUGAUGGAAGGAGAGAACCAAUCCCCUUACCUUGUUCUCUGACAGCUACACACCCCUCUCCCACAGAAAUAAAAUGUU
rnacentral:lncRNA from 1 species